GGCCGCCUGGCGAAAUGGCAUCGCGUCUGACUACGAAGUAGAUUCUUCGAGAUCAGGAGAUUGCAGGUUCGACCCCUGCGGUGGUCA